rnacentral:rRNA from 1 species
AUGCAUGUCUAAGUCCUAGCUGUGCGUUGUUGGUGCAAGCCUUSGCGCACGGCGAAACCGCGGACGGCUCAUUAAAUCAGUCGUGGUCCAGAUGGGCUAGUGUUAUCUUACUUGGAUAACUGUGGUAAUUCCAGAGCUAAUACAUGCAACUCUAAGGUCUGAUCGGCCGGGCUUUGRUCGGCUGUGACGACUGCUUUUAUUAGACCAAACCGCUAUGAGCUUCGGCUCUUAGACCCGUGUUAUGGUGACUCUGAAUAACACCACUUGACAAGCGCACGUAUCCACUUCGUUGGGACGGCGCUGCCACUUUCGAGUGUCUGCCUUAUCAGCUAUGUAUCGUUCGUUAUGUGCGAACGAUGGCUUUGACGGGUAACGGGGAAUCAGAGUUCGAUUCCGGAGAGGCAGCCUGAGAAACGGCUACCACGUC